rnacentral:rRNA from 1 species
GUGGGGAAUCUUGCGCAAUGGGCGAAAGCCUGACGCAGCCAUGCCGCGUGAAUGAUGAAGGUCUUAGGAUUGUAAAAUUCUUUCACCGGGGACGAUAAUGACGGUACCCGGAGAAGAAGCUCCGGCUAACUUCGUGCCAGCAGCCGCGGUAAUACGAAGGGGGCUAGCGUUGCUCGGAAUUACUGGGCGUAAAGGGCGCGUAGGCGGACAGCUUAGUCAGAGGUGAAAGCCCAGGGCUCAACCUUGGAAUUGCCUUUGAUACUGGCUGUCUUGAGUUUGGGAGAGGUGAGUGGAACUCCGGGUGUAGAGGUGAAAUUCGUAGAUAUUCGGAAGAACACCAGUGGCGAAGGCGACUCACUGGCCCAAUACUGACGCUGAGGCGCGAAAGCGUGGGGAGCAAACAGGAAUAGAAACCCUGGUAGUCC